rnacentral:lncRNA from 1 species
AAAAAAAAAAAAAAAAAAAAAAAAAAAAGAAAAGAAAGAAAAAAAAGAAAAGAAAGAAAAAAAAGAACUCAUAACUUUGAAUGCUAUUCUUGUGCUUCUUUUCAUAAAAAAAAAAAUUUUUUUUAGCAAAACUUGAAUCAAAGUCACUAGUUCAGGAAGACGUGCCUCCUUUUAACGAGUGGGUCAGCGCCAAGGCUGUACUCAGAGGAGGCUGGAGGCCUGGGCCGCCGUGAGCCGAGACUCUCACAGCCCACCUGCGCGCAGCCCCAUCCCACUGGUGCCACACGGGAAAGAACUGCCUGUGCUGCUUCCACUCCUCAGGAGGGGCCGGGGGAGACUGAGCCACAAUCUCUGGAGCCCCCCAAGAGGGGCCCAGAACAGACCUUCCUCACAGAAGAAAGUAAGGGAGGGGACCCACCAGAACCUGCGUCUGGAGUCACCUCCUCAGAGAGCUUUUGCCUUGAAGCAUCUGUCUGCCACUCCGACACCAAUACAGUACGGCCUGAUCUUCCUCCUUCCGGCUGAAAACCACCAUGAACCCUCCCUUCCUGCAAUCAAGGUUCCGAGGCCUCCGCCGCGGCCAGCACGUCCCUCAGAGCCCCUUACGAGCAGGUGUCACGCCGCGGGAAGAACCACCAGCACAGGCAGAAGGGCAGAUGUGACUUUUUACUCCGCCGUUUCCCUCUCCGUGUUUCAUAUUAAAUAUCUGAAAUAUAUUAAUCUUAAAAAACAGUAUUCACACAGUUCUCGAUGAUAUAGCAGGGGAGGAAACGGUAAGUCUAGACUGCAAAAAUCAUAGGUUAUUUUACAAACGAGAGUGUGGGUGUGGCCCCUUCCUGGUGUUUCCAGCUGCCUCAAC